rnacentral:tRNA from 1 species
GUGUCGUCUAGUGGUUAGGACGCGAGUUUUACACGCUCAAGACCGAGGGUUCAAUCGCCUCCAC